ACAAUCAUUUUCAGUUAGACACAGACUACAUCAACUACUAAACGCUYCUCUUUAAAAAAAUUGCAGUAUAGCCACUGAACUUGAAAAUGGCUUCUAGGAAAAUGCUGCUGGCAAUUGUCUUCGUUGUUGCUAUSUUUGCUUCUUUAGGAACUGACUCCACUGUGGGGGGCACAUUUGGCAUAUCUACAGCUACAGCUAAGGGACGCCGAAACAUGUAUAAGAAAAUGCUUGAUAAAAGGAAUCAAUCUCCUUACCCGAAAGAGGAUGCUGCUAUUUGCGUGGAAGCUCAUAAACGUGGUUGUUGUUAUAAGUAAACCUCAAGCACGAUUAACAAUAAGCGUCUCACGAUAUAAAAUGAUGAUUAUAACAGUAAAUAAAUAAAUGUAAGAUAAAUGACCAGCAAACUGAAUAAAGAAUUCUAAUUCUAUAAUCAUGAUCAUUUUAAGUCCAAGAUCUCACUGGCCAUCGAUUUAUGAUUGAAGAUGGUUUCGUGAAGCAAACAUACACCUAAUUGAAGAAACGUUGUCGGGUUCAAAAAGGUCUAAUCAUAGAACCUAAGACCGAAAAAGUACUUUGGAAGACAAACAAUUUGGCUAAUUUCAUACAAACAGCUCUCCAACAUAAAAGACUAGCAUGCUAUUAAUCUUACUAGCUCUAGUUGCUUUACCGUACACCAUGUUAAACACCGUAUAUGCAAAUGUAGAGGUACUCAAAAUCCCUUUCGUCUUAGCUUCUAUGAUGUGAACUUUUCGAACACGACUACGUUUUUUCAAUUAGGUGUAUGUGUUUCCAACUACUGUUUCUACACUUGAAUAACUUUUUUAAGGUUUCAGAGUAAUAUAAGUGCAAGAGGAGUAAUAAUGACUAAGUCUAAUCGCUGAAUAAAAUUGCAAUUCAACUGUAA